CUCAAUGAAAAUGUUGAAUAGCCAGAGAGAGACCAUACUCUAGUGAAGUCCAUGAUGGUUUCAACCAAAACUUCCCCCCUUAGGAAUAAAGUUUCACCAUGUUCUGGUGCCAGAUUUUUAUGAUAAUCAGGUCAAGUUUCACCCAAUUAUCAGGGAUCACGAGGCUAAUAAGACCAAAUAUGACUCUCACAACUCUUUAAAGCUGAAGCUUUCAACUCUUACAAACCGGAGGCCAGCCAAACGAUUGAAUGUCCUACGCUUGAGAGAUACAAAUGAG